UGAGUAGGCGGUUGUAUAUGUCAGGUGUAAAAGGCUAUGGCUUAACCAUGGUUCGCACUUGAAACUGUAUGACUUGAGUGCAGGAGAGGUAAGUGGAAUUCCUAGUGUAGCGGUGAAAUGCGUAGAUAUUAGGAGGAACACCAGUGGCGAAGGCGACUUACUGGACUGUAACUGACGCUGAGUCACGAAAGCGUGGGUAGCAAACA
rnacentral:rRNA from 1 species